AGUAACGCGUGAGCAACCUGCCUUCAGNGGGGGACAACGGCUGGAAACGGCCGCUAAUACCGCAUGACAUAUCCGGAUGGCAUCGUCUGGAUAUCAAAGGAGAAAUCCGCUGAAGGGUGGGCUCACGUCCGAUUAGCUAGUUGGUAGGGUAACAGCCUACCAAGGCGACGAUCGGUAGCCGAACUGAGAGGUUGAUCGGCCGCAUUGGGACUGAGACACGGCCCAGACUCCUACGGGAGGCAGCAUG
rnacentral:rRNA from 1 species